rnacentral:rRNA from 1 species
GACUAACGCUGGCGGCGUGCCUAACACAUGCAAGUCGAACGGGGCCCUGGUUCGCCAGGGUCUAGUGGCAGACGGGUGAGUAACACGUAGGUAAUGUACCCUCUUGCUGGGGAUACCCGUCCGAAAGGAUGGUUAAUACCGAAUGAGCCACGACCGGGGCAUCCUGGUGGUGGCAAACUGGCAACGGGCGAGAGGAUCAGCCUGCGGACCAUCAGCUGGUUGGUGGGGUAACGGCCUACCAAGGCGACGACGGUUAGCCGGUUUGAGAGGACGAUCGGCCACACUGGGACUGAAACACGGCCCAGACUCCUACGGGAGGCAGCAGUGAGGAAUAUUGCGCAAUGGGCGAAAGCCUGACGCAGCGACGCCGCGUGAGGGAUGAAGGCCUUCGGGUCGUAAACCUCUGUCAGUGGGGAAGAGAACGGACGGUACCCACUGAGGAAGCAUCGGCUUACUACGUG